ensembl:lncRNA
GUGGUUAUUAUGGACCUCUGUCUAUGGACCUGAUGUUGGAUGGUUUGAUUAAAUUCAAGGCAAUGCAAGUUUAUUUUUUAUAGCGCAUUUCAUACACAGGAAAUACAAUGUGCUUUACAUAAAUAAGACCAAAAAGAACAUCCAAAGGAAAUUCAUGCACACAGAAAGAGAGAGAGAGAGAGAGAGAGAGAGAGAGAGAGAGAGAGAGAUUCCCUCUGUAGGUCUCCCUAGUCACAAUUUGAUAAUUGGGGUUGCACCGAGUCGAGCAGCUUCAUCAAUUCUGGAGUUUCUACGUUAACAUCGAGUACUUAAUAAUCAUGUGAUGCUAGUCUGAGAACUGAAAAUGAGUUUCUAAAUGACUAAAUAGUGUUCAUUGUUAGUAUGGACUACAUUUCCCAUGCUGCCUUGUUUGGAGCUGGGGGUGAAGCAGGUUUUGGAGGGAGUUGAAGAGUGUGAGAGUGUUUAGAGGGAGUUGAAGAGCGUGAGAGUGUUUAGGAGUUGAAGAGUGUGAGAGUGUUUAGGAGUUGAAGAGUGUGAGAGUGUUUAGGAGUUGAAGAGUGCGAGAGUGUUUAGGAGUUGAAGAGUGUGAGAGUGUUUAGAGGGAGUUGAAGAGUGUGAGAGUAGAGAGGAAGAGUUGAAGAGUGUGAGAGUGUUUAGAGGGAGUUGAAGAGUGUGAGAGUGUUUAGAGGGAGUUGAAAAGUGUGAGAGUGUUUAGGAGUUGAAGAGUGUGAGAGUGUUUAGGAGUUGAAGAGUGUGAGAGUGUUUAGGAGUUAAAGAGUGUGAAAGUGUUUAGGAGUUGAAGAGUGUGAGAGUGUUUAGAGGGAGUUGAAGAGUGUGAGAGCAGAGAGGAAGAGUUGAAGAGUGUGAGAGUGUUUGGAGGGAGUUGAAGAGUGUGAGAGUGUUUAGAGGGAGUUGAAGAGUGUGAGAGUGUUUAGAGGUAGCUGAAGAGUGUGAGAGUGUUUAGGAGUUGAAGAGUGUGAGAGUGUUUGGAGGGAGUUGAAGAGUGUGAGAGUAGAGAGGAAGAGUUGAAGAGUGUGAGAGUGUUUAGAGGGAGUUGAAGAGUGUGAGAGUGUUUAGGAGUUGAAGAGUGUGAGAGUGUUUAGGAGUUGAAGAGUGUGAGAGUGUUUAGGAGUUGAAGAGUGUGAGAGUGUUUAGAGGGAGUUGAAGAGUGUGAGAGCAGAGAGGAAGAGUUGAAGAGUGUGAGAGUGUUUGGAGGGAGUUGAAGAGUGUGAGAGUGUUUAGAGGGAGUUGAAGAGUGUGAGAGUGUUUAGAGGGAGUUGAAGAGUGUGAGAGUGUUUAGAGGGAGUUGAGAGCAGAGAAGAAGAGUUGAAGAGUGUGAGAGUGUUUAGAGGGAGUUGAAGAGUGUGAGAGUGUUUAGAGGGAGCUGAAGAGUGUGAGAGUGUUUAGAGGGAGUUGAAGAGUGUUAGAGUGUUUAGAGGGAGUUGAAGAGUGUGAGAGUGUUUAGAGGGAGUUGAAGAGUGUGAGAGUGUUUAUGAGUUGAAGAGUGUGAGAGUGUUUGGAGGGAGUUGAGAGCAGAGAAGAAGAGUUGAAGAGUGUUAGAGUGUUUAGGAGUUGAAGAGUGUGAGAGUGUUUGGAGGGAGUUGAAGAGUGUGAGAGUGUUUGGAGUGAGUUGAGAGCAGAGAAGAAGAGUUGAAGUGUGAGAGUGUUUAGAGGGAGUUGAAGAGUGUGAGAGUGUUUAGGAAUUGAAGAGUGUGAGAGUGUUUAGGAGUUGAAGAGUGUGAGAGUGUUUGGAGGGAGUUGAAGAGUGUGAGAGUGUUUAGCGGGAGUUGAAGAGUGUGAGAGUGUUUAGAGGGAGUUGAGAACAGAGAAGAAUAGUUGAAGAGUGUUUUGGAAGGCGUUGGAGAAGUUAAAAGCCUUUU